GACGAACGCUGGCGGCGUGCUUAACACAUGCAAGUCGAACGGAAAGGCCCUGCUUUUGUGGGGUGCUCGAGUGGCGAACGGGUGAGUAGCACGUGAGUAACCUGCCCUUGACUUUGGGAUAACUUCAGGAAACUGGGGCUAAUACCGGAUAGGAGCUCCUGCUGCAUGGUGGGGGUUGGAAAGUUUCGGCGGUUGGGGAUGGACUCGCGGCUUAUCAGCUUGUUGGUGGGGUAGUGGCUUACCAAGGCUUUGACGGGUAGCCGGCCUGAGAGGGUGACCGGCCACAGUGGGACUGAGAUACGGCACAGACUCCUACGGGAGGCAGCAGUGGGGAAUAUUGCACAAUGGGCGGAAGCCUGAUGCAGCAACGCCGCGUGCGGGAUGACGGCCUUCGGGUUGUAAACCGCUUUCGCCUGUGACGAAGCGUGAGUGACGGUAAUGGGUAAAGAAGCACCGGCUAACUACGUG
rnacentral:rRNA from 1 species